GGGGAUAUAGCUCAAUUGGGAGAGCGCUGCCUUCGCAUGGCAGAGGUUGCGGGUUCGAGUCCCGCUAUCUCCACCA
rnacentral:tRNA from 1 species